UCGAGAAUACGUUAAGAUAUGCAACCAGUAAUACACCUGUAUUAUUAUUUAUAGUAGUGUAUGAUUAACCUUUCAAUCAACAAUCCAUGCUGCGCCGCUCAUAUGUAAAUCACUACAUUGGCACAGAUUACCUAGUGUAGGGUAAUCAUUUGCCGCAACCUGGGUAAAUAAAUGUUGAAUUACAAAUUCACAUUUUGUUCCUGUGCCUUUUACACUAAAAGAGAAUAAGAAGCUUGUACGGUCCUAUUCCCGUAAGGGGACUAAACACAAAAAUGGUGUUUGGGUGUAUUGUACUCGAUACGUUUGUAUAUUUUCGAGAAGCAGUGGUUUCAAAUUUUAAAUUUUUUAAAAUAAACAAAUGAAAAUUCUAGUUGAGGGGGGUUUUGGGACAUGAAUAAAUCUCUAGAAUCAAUGUUUGAAACGACACUUAAACAAAGCAGAGUAACAAUCUGUCUCUUUUGCAUGGCAAUAGCCAGAUACAAUACUCCCUGAAGAAAGACUCAUGGAACACUGUCAUAUCCUGACGCUAGUAAUGAGGAUUGUGCGUGCACAGGCAUAAUAGCUUGAAUCCCUGUAACCUCGCCUGUAACAUUUAUAACUACAAAUCAAUUUUUAAAAAGUAAUUCAUGUAGUAUGUACACUGUUUCAAAGACUGCAAAAGGUGAAGAAAAUUGAUAUUUCUUACAGAUGGGAAGUAGCCUGUAGGAGUGAUAUUCAGGUGAAGUUCGAACACUUAUGACCAUAAUGGAUUUCUAGGUAAAACUUUUUCAAUUUGUGUAUGAAUGCGACAGUUGCCAAGCAGAGCUUCAAGUAAGCUUAAGCAGACUUUGACAUGUUGAUUUCAAAGAAUUAAAUCAUCCGAGUACCGACAUUUAGUUCAUUAACGGAAACCUUCACCACACAAAUCCUAUGUUAAAAUCUUACCCUAGG